rnacentral:rRNA from 1 species
CCUACGGGUGGCAGCAGUGAGGAAUAUUGGUCAAUGGACGGAAGUCUGAACCAGCCAUGCCGCGUGCAGGAAGACGGCUCUAUGAGUUGUAAACUGCUUUUGUACAGGAGUAAAGAUGGAGACGUGUCUUCAGCUGAAAGUACCGUAAGAAUAAGGAUCGGCUAACUCCGUGCCAGCAGCCGCGGUAAUACGGAGGAUCCGAGCGUUAUCCGGAUUUAUUGGGUUUAAAGGGUGCGUAGGCGGAUUGGUAAGUUAGAGGUGAAAUGGCCGGGCUCAACUCCGGAACUGCCUCUAAAACUGGCGGUCUAGAGUUGGGGAGAGGUAGGCGGAAUGUGUGGUGUAGCGGUGAAAUGCUUAGAUAUCACACAGAACACCGAUUGCGAAGGCAGCAUACC